CCUGGUUGAUCCUGCCAGUAGUCAUAUGCUUGUCUCAAAGAUUAAGCCAUGCAUGUCUAAGUAUAAGCGACUAUACUGUGAAACUGCGAAUGGCUCAUUAAAUCAGUUAUGGUUUAUUUGAUGGUACCUUGCUACUUGGAUAACCGUAGUAAUUCUAGAGCUAAUACAUGCAGGAGUUCCCGACUCACGGAGGGAUGUAUUUAUUAGAUAAGAAACCAAACCGGUCUCCGGUUGCGUGCUGAGUCAUAAUAACUGCUCGAAUCGCACGGCUCUACGCCGGCGAUGGUUCAUUCAAAUUUCUGCCCUAUCAGCUUUCGAUGGUAGGAUAGAGGCCUACCAUGGCGUUAACGGGUAACGGAGAAUUAGGGUUCGAUUCCGGAGAGGGAGCCUGAGAAAUGGCUACCACAUCCAAGGAAGGCAGCAGGCGCGUAAAUUGCCCGAAUCCUGACACAGGGAGGUAGUGACAAGAAAUAACAAUACAGGGCUAUUUUAGUCUUGUAAUUGGAAUGAGUACAAUUUACAUCUCUUCACGAGGAUCAAUUGGAGGGCAAGUCUGGUGCCAGCAGCCGCGGUAAUUCCAGCUCCAAUAGCGUAUAUUAAAGUUGUUGCAGUUAAAACGCUCGUAGUCGGAUUUCGGGGCGGGCCGACCGGUCUGCCGAUGGGUAUGCACUGGCCGGCGCGUCCUUCCACCCGGAGACCGCGCCUACUCUUAACUGAGCGGGCGCGGGAGACGGGUCUUUUACUUUGAAAAAAUCAGAGUGUUUCAAGCAGGCAGUCGCUCUUGCAUGGAUUAGCAUGGGAUAAUGAAAUAGGACUCUGGUGCUAUUUUGUUGGUUUCGAACACCGGAGUAAUGAUUAACAGGGACAGUCAGGGGCACUCGUAUUCCGCCGAGAGAGGUGAAAUUCUUAGACCAGCGGAAGACGAACAACUGCGAAAGCAUUUGCCAGGGAUGUUUUCACUGAUCAAGAACGAAAGUUAGGGGAUCGAAGACGAUCAGAUACCGUCGUAGUCUUAACCAUAAACCAUGCCGACUAGGGAUUGGAGGAUGUUCCAUUUGUGACUCCUUCAGCACCUUUCGGGAAACUAAAGUCUUUGGGUUCCGGGGGGAGUAUGGUCGCAAGGCUGAAACUUAAAGGAAUUGACGGAAGGGCACCACCAGGAGUGGAGCCUGCGGCUUAAUUUGACUCAACACGGGGAAACUUAC
rnacentral:rRNA from 1 species